rnacentral:rRNA from 1 species
AUCGAACGCUGGCGGCAGGCCUAAUACAUGCAAGUCGAACGAGUGGCGGACGGGUGAGUAAUGUCUGGGAAACUGCUCGACGGAGGGGGAUAACUACUGGAAACGGUAGCUAAUACUGCUGACCAUUGGAUGUGCUUAGACGGGUUUAGCUAGUAGGUGAGGUAAAGGCCCACAUAGGUGACGAUCCCUAGCUGGUCUGAGAGGAUGACCAGCAACACUGGAACUGAGACACGGUCCAGACUCCUACGGGAGGCAGCAGUGGGGAAUAUUGCACAAUGGGCGCAAGCCGGAUGCAGCCAUGCCGCGUGGAUGAAGAAGGCCUUCGGGUUGUAAAGUACGUUCAGCGGGGAGGCGUUACCCGCAGAAGAAGCACCGGCUAACUCCGUGCCAGCAGCCGCGGUAAUAC